rnacentral:rRNA from 1 species
ACGAACGCUGGCGGCGUGCCUAAUACAUGCAAGUCGAGCGGAAUGAUGAAGAAGCUUGCUUCUUCUGAUUUUAGCGGCGGACGGGUGAGUAACACGUGGGCAACCUACCUUGUAGAUUGGGAUAACUCCGGGAAACCGGGGCUAAUACCGAAUAAUCCAUUUUGCUUCAUGGCGAGAUGUUGAAAGGCGGCUUCGGCUGUCACUACGAGAUGGGCCCGCGGCGCAUUAGCUAGUUGGUAGGGUAAUGGCCUACCAAGGCGACGAUGCGUAGCCGACCUGAGAGGGUGAUCGGCCACACUGGGACUGAGACACGGCCCAGACUCCUACGGAAGGCAGCAGUAGGGAAUCUUCCACAAUGGACGAAAGUCUGAUGGAGCAACGCCGCGUGAGUGAAGAAGGUUUUCGGAUCGUAAAACUCUGUUGUAAGGGAAGAACACGUACGAGAGUAACUGCUCGUACCUUGACGGUACCUUAUUAGAGAGCCACGGCUAACUACGUG